CCUACGGGUGGCAGCAGUGGGGAAUAUUGGACAAUGGGCGAAAGCCUGAUCCAGCCAUGCCGCGUGUGUGAAGAAGGCCUUCGGGUUGUAAAGCACUUUCAGUGGGGAAGAAAGCCUUGGGGCUAAUACCCUCGAGGAAGGACAUCACCCACAGAAGAAGCACCGGCUAACUCCGUGCCAGCAGCCGCGGUAAUACGGAGGGUGCGAGCGUUAAUCGGAAUUACUGGGCGUAAAGCGCGCGUAGGCGGUCUGAUAAGCCGGUUGUGAAAGCCCCGGGCUCAACCUGGGAACGGCAUCCGGAACUGUCUGGCUAGAGUGCGGGAGAGGAAGGUAGAAUUCCCGGUGUAGCGGUGAAAUGCGUAGAGAUAGGGAGGAAUACCAGUGGCGAAGGCGGCCUUCUGGACUGACACUGACGCUGAGGUGCGAAAGCGUGGGUAGCAAACAGGAUUAGAUACCCCAGUAGUC
rnacentral:rRNA from 1 species